rnacentral:rRNA from 1 species
UACGUAGGAUGCAAGCGUUAUCCGGAAUUAUUGGGCGUAAAGCGUACGUAGGCGGUUUACCAAGUCUGGAGUUAAAGACCGAGGCUCAACCUCGGGAGUGCUCUGGAAACUGGUAGGCUGGAGGACGGCAGAGGAAAGUGGAAUUCCCAGUGUAGCGGUGAAAUGCGUAGAUAUCGGAAGGAACAUCAGUGGCGAAGGCGACUUCCUGGACCAAUACUGACGCUCAGGUGCGAAAGCGUGGGGAGCAAACAGG